UUUCACCAGAAAUGGUCCAGAAGUUUGAUGGAAAAUCAAAAGAGGACUUAAUUCGGAUUAUAUGCAGUCUUCAAGUUUCAAUGGAAAAUCAGACCAAGAAGCUGAAAGAUCUGGAGGACUAUUUGGACAAUCUUCUGCUUCGGGUUAUGGAGACUACACCCCGCAUCCUUCAGAAUCCUUAUGUGAGCUGCAAGACACAGGCCAAGUUGAGCCACUUGUGACUGCUCUCAUUUUGGUGAGUAUGUGGAAAAGCCAAGUUCUUACGGCUGUCAACCUGAUAUUUGCAUGUUCUUCCUCAAGAUAUAAAUGUAUUUUUUAAAGAUUAAUGGAAUUUUUCACUAUUUUCCAAUAAUUCUGUAGGGUUUCACUGUGGAGAAACCCAGUGCUCAAUUCAUCAAUGUUGUUCAAUCUCUGUUUUGUUAAAAAUGAAGUGAAAUGUGCUCCAUUGUGAUUGAAGUCAGAUUAUUGUUAAUGUGAGAUGUAUUUAAUGAUUUUAUUGAUCAAAUUGUUAAACUUAAAAGUACUGCUGAAACAGAAUGUUUUGUAUGAAUUUAACCUGUUUUACACUGUGAAUUAUAUGUGCUGAAUAAUUA